GUGCUAGCUUUGGCAGCAUAUACACUAAAAUUGAACAAUACAUAGAAUAUUAGCAAGGCCCCUGCACAAGGAUGACACAAAUUCACGAAGCAGUCUAUUUAA